AAAUUGAAGAGUUUGAUCAUGGCUCAGAUUGAACGCUGGCGGCAGGCCUAACACAUGCAAGUCGAACGGUAACAGAAAGCAGCUUGCUGCUUUGCUGACGAGUGGCGGACGGGUGAGUAAUGUCUGGGAAACUGCCUGAUGGAGGGGGAUAACUACUGGAAACGGUAGCUAAUACCGCAUAACGUCGCAAGACCAAAGAGGGGGACCUUCGGGCCUCUUGCCAUCGGAUGUGCCCAGAUGGGAUUAGCUUGUUGGUGGGGUAACGGCUCACCAAGGCGACGAUCCCUAGCUGGUCUGAGAGGAUGACCAGCCACACUGGAACUGAGACACGGUCCAGACUCCUACGGGAGGCAGCAGUGGGGAAUAUUGCACAAUGGGCGCAAGCCUGAUGCAGCCAUGCCGCGUGUAUGAAGAAGGCCUUCGGGUUGUAAAGUACUUUCAGCGGGGAGGAA
rnacentral:rRNA from 1 species